rnacentral:rRNA from 1 species
CAGUAGCCGCGGUAAUACGAAGGGUGCAAGCGUUAAUCGGAAUUACUGGGCGUAAAGCGUGCGCAGGCGGUUUGUUAAGACAGAUGUGAAAUCCCCGGGCUCAACCUGGGAACUGCAUUUGUGACUGGCAAGCUAGAGUGUGGCAGAGGGGGGUGGAAUUCCGCGUGUAGCAGUGAAAUGCGUAGAUAUGCGGAGGAACACCGAUGGCGAGGGCAGCCCCCUGGGCCAACACUGACGCUCAUGCACGAAAGCGUGGGGAGCAAACAGGAUUAGAUACCCGCGUAGUCCCUGUCUCUUAUAC